rnacentral:rRNA from 1 species
GACGAAGGUGGCGAGCGUUACUCGGAAUUACUAGGCGUAAAGCGUGGGCAGGCGGUUCAGUAAGUCUGUUGUGGAAGCUCCCGGCUCAACCGGGAGAGGCCAAUGGAAACUGCUGAGCUUGAAUUGAGGAGGGGUCACUGGAAUUCCCGGUGUAGCGGUGAAAUGCGUAGAUAUCGGGAGGAACAUCCAUGGCGAAAGCAGGUGACUGGACUCAUAUUGACGCUCAUCCACGAAAGCUGGGGGAUCAAACAGGAUUAGAUACCCUGGUAGUCCCAGCCGUAAACGAUGUACACCAGAUGUGGGAGGUAUCGACCCCUUCCGCGUCGACGCUAACGCAUUAAGUGUACCGCCUGGGGAGUACGGCCGCAAGGUUGAA